ensembl:processed_transcript
CCUGGCAGCAUUCAUGCCCACGUGCUGGUUGGGAGAGCCAAGAGCUCUCCCCUCAAACCACAAGCAAAGAGCAGAGGGAGAGUAAACUUGGGAUGGUGUGUAUCUUGAAACCUCAAAGACAGUGACAUCAAAUGGGGACAAAGCAGCCAAGUGCUUGAGACUGUGGAGGACAUCUCAUUUAAGUCACCAGGAUGUUAGAAAGAAGUGGGACAUCUGUCAUAGAGAUCCACAAAAUGAAAGAUGCAUAUGAUAAAACAAAACAUAAGAGACUAGGGGGAGGAGAAGACACUUGCUACAUCAGCCACUCAAACGGUAGUCAUCAGUUUCAAAGAGCCAGAGCGGAAGCGGAGGAUCUUCUUCUUGAGGUUGUGCGAGGCCUUGAUUUUGACAAAGGUUUUCGUGGGACGGGUGUGAAGGUCUGGGGCCGUGACCGUUUGAAUCGGGAGAGUCUGGACAAACUGGGACCAGAUUAAACCCCCGCUCUCCUCGGAGUCGCUGGUGGUGGUGCUCUCGCCCACGAAGUCGCCUUCGCUCACGCUGGACUCGCUGUCGCCGAAGCAGUUGGUGGUGUAGUUGCUCUGCUCGUCCUCGCUGGUGUCCACCACCGUGGAGUGGAAGAGCGACUCGCACUCCGCCGAGUACUCGGAGUCGCUGGCCACGUAGGCGUAAGGGCUGGCAUACGGCAGGGCCACGGCCACCGGGUAGGCGGCCCCGUGCUCCCUGCGAGCCCUCCGUGCCCGCCGCAGGGCUUCUUCGUAGGAGACCUCGGCCGACGACUUCCACCGCCGGUAGUCGGUUCGCUUGUGCUUCGGUUUGGCCACCACCGGCUCCCGGCCGUGCGCGUGCGACCUGCUACCCGCCCGAUGGCCGCCGGUGCCCAGGGCCCUGCCAGGAAGGCCAGCAUCGGGCAGCCCGCCACUGCGCCGGCCCUUGGCGGAGGUCUUCCUGAGUUUCUUAUUUGUAUCCGAGUCGUCUGGGAAACGGCACUUCUUGCCCGCCGCCCGUGGUUUCUCCCUGACGGUGGGCAGGCCGUGCUCCAUGGCGGCCUGGCCACGGGCCUUCAAGGUGGCGCUCCUUGCGACACCCGGGUUCCUGUGUGCACGGUGAGGCCUGGCGGCCGCCUGCUGCCCCGGAAUGAACUGAGCUUUCACCAGAUGCCCUUCCUCGAGGCUUUGAGACGAGCCCUCGCUUUUGAAGUCCAAGGCCGGCCUGUCCACCACGGGCACAGCCUGGAGGCUGUUCUUCGGUGGCAUCUUUUUCGGAAGCUGCAGGGCUUUGCUCUCGGCGGGGGCGACAGGGCCUCUGCCCGGACUUGUUUUAGGAGAAACAGCCGAGGCCUGAUUGCUUUCCUUCAUGGAUUCCCCCAGUCCGGCUUGACAACGAGCGAGCUCUAGAGAGGCUGCCUUGGCCGCUUUGGGCAGAUGCUUGCUUUGGGGUUCCAUGGCGGCGCCUGCGGAGCAGCCCUCCGGCAGAGCCAACCUCUUGCUUUCUAUCUGGUCUGUCUUUGAGUCUUUGGACCACUGCUUAGGAGGGGAAAAUGGCCCGUUUUCCAAUGAGGUUAUCCCCCCAGAGGGUAAAC